rnacentral:rRNA from 1 species
GGGGGCAGCAAUGUCACCGGCGAACGGGUGCGUAACGCGUAUGCAACCUACCUACAUCAGGGGGAUAGCCCUAGGAAACUGGGAUUAACACCGCAUAAUAUAAGCUACGGCAUCGUAACUUAUUGAAAUGUUUAUAGGAUGUAGAUGGGCAUGCGUAGGAUUAGCUAGUUGGUAAGGUAACGGCUUACCAAGGCUACGAUCCUUAGGGGCUCUGAGAGGAGUAUCCCCCACACUGGCACUGAGAUACGGGCCAGACUCCUACGGGAGGCAGCAGUAGGGAAUAUUGGGCAAUGGAGGCAACUCUGACCCAGCCAUGCCGCGUGCAGGAAGACGGUCCUCUGGAUUGUAAACUGCUUUUGAAUGGGAAGAAUGUGAUGCUUGCGAGCGUUAAUGACGGUACCAUUAGAAUAAGCCACGGCUAACUACGUGCCAGCAGCCGCGGUAAUACGUAGGUGGCGAGCGUUAUCCGGAUUUAUUGGGUUUAAAGGGUGCGUAGGCGGCUUGAUAAGUCGGUGGUUAAAAGUAGCAGCUUAACUGUUUUACAUGCCAUCGAUACUGUUGAGCUUGAGAUAUUUGGAGGCAGCUAGAAUUUCCGGUGUAGCGGUGAAAUGCAUAGAUACCGGAAGGAAUACCAAUUGCGAAGGCAGGUUGCUACGAAUAAACUGACGCUGAUGCACGAAAGCGUGGGGAUCAAACAGGAUUAGAUACCCUGGUAGUCCACGCCGUAAACGAUGAUUACUAGUUGUUGGGGUUUAAGCUUCAGUGACCAAGGGAAACCGAUAAGUAAUCCACCUGGGGAGUACGCCGGCAACGGUGAAACUCAAAGGAAUUGACG